GCUCUGAAGCGAAUGCAGCCUGGUGUAUCCACUUCAGUCAAUGGCACCCUCUGGCUUCUCAGCUGGCUAUCAACAGCAGGACGCAGCGCUCACCGCUGCAAUCAAGUUCAUCUGAUCCACCUGCACACUACAGUGCUGCUGUGCAAUCAGGUUCAUACCAUCCACCUGCUCAUCAACAGCGCCGGUCAGACACUCUACUGGUUUCUGCUUCCUGGACACGACCCUGUUUCAGCCUCUCGACUUCUACAAAUUAUAAAUAAUUUUAUAAGUUUAAUUGUACAUAAGCAGAAUAAUAUAACAUGGGAUAAAUAUGUAUUAUUAAAAGCUUUUGUGUACAUGAAGUGAAAGAGUAGUUCAUUAAGUGGUCUUAGAUUUUUCCAUUUUGGUUUCACAAAUACUUUUGGUGUUAAUCAUGAUGUACCAUAUAAACAUUCUUUUAAUUGACUGACAAAAUUAGAAAGUGGACCCUUAAAUUAUGAACAGAGAAGGCAUUAUUUAAAUAGACAUGGAUAAAAGAUAAGAUAGGAAAACAAUACAAGUGUAUGGAAUUAUUUUCAGAAAAUGGUUCCGCUGUUGAUGGCCCAAUAUUCCAACUUGGCAGCCUGUGGUUUGAAAUAAGUUUUCUGGUAGAAGGUGUCUUGCUUAUUCUGCCAAGUAGAUCACCAAUACAGCAGUCAUAUCUCUCUUCUUCAGCCCCUUCUUUAUUUAUGUUAAGAGGUUUAUCUUUGACCCUCCUGCACUUUUAAAAAUUCUGGCUAUGGACAAAUUAAUAUUGGGUGACCAGGGCAAAUGCUACAGGCAAUGAAGAAUCCAGGGUCAUGAAGAAACAAAAGCU